GUGCACAUUCCUAUCCUAAUAAGUAUGUCUAAAGACCUCUCAAAGGUCAACAUCCUCUUUUUCAACACGGCGUCCCACCUGUUUCACAACCUAUGCUUCUCCCUGCCAUCAUUGAUAGUGGCCGCAAUGUCCGAGACAACGCCCGUGCUUCACUAUGGAGCAAAGUAGACGUUGCUAGAAAUGAGUAGCAUGUGUUCCUGUAUAUAAUUUCAUACAAUUAAUAAUGAAUAUCACGAAGGUAAUUUAUAUUACAUACCAUCAAAUCUUGCGACAUUUUUAAUGUAGCACUUAGGCAUAGAAAUAACAUAACAUGUAGUGCAUCACCCAAAAAAUUAAUACGUCAAAAAUGCAUGGAUAAAAAAAUGGUAAAACUAUAGAAAGGGGUAGCUACUCACAAAAAUAUGAAUGCAAUAGUAAUGUAACAUGAUGGAAUAACACAACGCUCUAAUAUUGAUACGUAAAGACGAUGCUGGGCCAAAGCGAAGUAAUAAUCAUCUGCUCUCACCAUACCUUGGCUUCUCAAGUUCCAAGGAUUUCUCUGUAAGGAAGCAUAUAAAGGUUAAGAACAUCAGACAAAGGUAGAAUCUAGGAAGAAUAUAAAGGUUAAGAACAUCAGACAAAGGUAGAAUCUAAGAUA
rnacentral:lncRNA from 1 species